AAAUUGAAGAGUUUGAUCAUGGCUCAGAUUGAACGCUGGCGGCAGGCCUAACACAUGCAAGUCGAACGGUAGCACAGAGAGCUUGCUCUCGGGUGACGAGUGGCGGACGGGUGAGUAAUGUCUGGGAAACUGCCUGAUGGAGGGGGAUAACUACUGGAAACGGUGGCUAAUACCGCAUAACGUCGCAAGACCAAAGAGGGGGACCUUCGGGCCUCUUGCCAUCAGAUGUGCCCAGAUGGGAUUAGCUAGUUGGUGAGGUAACGGCUCACCAAGGCGACGAUCCCUAGCUGGUCUGAGAGGAUGACCAGCCACACUGGAACUGAGACACGGUCCAGACUCCUACGGGAGGCAGCAGUGGGGAAUAUUGCACAAUGGGCGCAAGCCUGAUGCAGCC
rnacentral:rRNA from 1 species